CCGCGCAUACGCGGACGUCCCUAGUAUACUUUCGGCUUCGUGUGCGCGAAAAGCGGAGGCUCGUUGUAGACCAUUGCGUGGGAUCCUUGCCCGUCCGCGGAGACUGUCAUAUCAUGUAUGCAUGCGGGGCCAGUGGAAUGCGGUGUUGCCUUGGAUGGAAGAACGCGGGAGCGUGUAGCGAAUUCUUCUACAGAGCUGUGAGAAAAAAAUAAACUAUCGAGAAGGACGGAAAAACGAGCAGUUUGAUUGAAAUGACAAUAAGGAAAAUAGAUCUAGGUCCUUUCAAAUGGGUUGACUCGUCAUCAGAAGAAAUCCAUGAAUCCAGCAAAGAACCAUAUAACCAAAAAACCUGACCUGCAUAUAAAACAGGUUACACUGUGGUUAAAAGUGUAAUUUAUUAUUACAUUAGCAUGAUCUGACUUUUCUUUGCACAUAGAUGUUAAAUUUUCUCAGUAAAUGUUAUAUAACAUUUCUAAUAAACUCAUGAGUUAA